GAACGCACCUUGCGCUCCUUGGUAUUCCGAGGAGUAUGCCUGUUUGAGUGUCAUUAAAUUCUCAACCUCACCAGUUUUGUUAUGAAACUGUGUAAGGCUUGGAUGUGGGGGUUUUUGCAGGCUGCCUCUGUGCGGUCUGCUCCCCUGAAAUGUAUUAGCGAGUUCACUAAGCUCCGUCUAUUGGUGUGAUAAUUAUCUACGCCGUGGAAUGGGUUUAGACUUGCUUCUAACCGUCUGCAAAGACAACUUUUGACAAUUUGACCUCAAAUCAGGUAGGACUACCCGCUGAACUUAAG
rnacentral:misc_RNA from 1 species